rnacentral:lncRNA from 1 species
AAAGACAAACACACAUUACAUUCCUUGUUAUCUACGAAUUUUCUUCAAAUAUUGUACAAAAGUCUGUCAAAAAAAGCUACAAUUUUUAUUUUCAAGGGAGUGACUUCUUGCAACCAGAAUAAAUUUUAGGUAAUAAUUGAGAAGAGGGAUGAACCUGGAAGCUGGAAAAGAUGGUGGGUUGAAGGUGUUUGAUGUCAAAUGCUGGGAUAACGACAUUGGUUAAUGUUUGUUCCAAUUUUAUGUCCCCUAGUUCUUCCCUGAUGAGCUUGUGUAAAUACUUGCCGUCGUACUGUGGUCCUGUCAGAGUUCUUCCGAACUUCAUCGCCGUUGAGAAUAUAUUCCAGGGACUGUAUUUGGAAAAUCACACUGUAAAUCAGUACACGCUGAUAAAAUAUGAUUUAGAUUUGAAUGAUUUGGUAUGAAGUUUAUGGUAAAGUGUGGUAUUUACCUAUUCUGUGGGAAGAUAUUUGGGGAAUGCUUAAGGUAGAACUUCUUAAUAUCUUGGGCUGCAUACAAGGGUCGGUUAUCUUUAUUUGGAGCAGUGAGCAUUGCAGUGACUAAUCCACCGGUGCUUGUUCCUGCGAUCACAUCAAAGUAAUCUGCUAGUCUUGCAUCAGCACCAUCCAGCUUCUGCAUAUGCAUCAUUAUUAGUUAGUUGGCUUCAUUAACUACAGUUAAUUUACAUACAACGUUUUAUUCUUAGCUAGAAGAUUAUUACCUGAAGUUCUGAUUCAAGGAAAGCAAGUAAAACUCCUGGAAUGAUUCCCCGAAUGCCACCACCAUCGAUACUCAGCACAGUAAUCAGGUGUCCAUCGUCACUUUUUUGAGUUGCUUCCAUGGAUCUCAAUUGAUGACUUACUGAGACAAAGAGAAAGAGAGAGAGAGAGAGAGAUGGAAUGAAGUGAUCUUACGAAAGAGCAAAGAAAACUACUUCUUUUUCAGAAAAUUCUAAAUUUCAUGGCAUAAUUUGAUGAGGAGAAGCUGUAUAUUUAUACAUAAACCAUGUAAAGAAUGAACAAGUUGACGACUGAUUUAGCGCGUUGAAUUUGUUCCUACAAAAACAUGGAAAUAGGUAACUUGUUUCCACAACUUCUGUACUUUGCAUUAUAUUAAGAGCAAUGGUAACAUGUAAAAGUGUGUCAUGUUACCAUUGCUCUUAUUUUAAUCAGUUUUCACGUGUUACUUAUGGUUUUUGAUGGUGACAGGACAAUCGAUAGACGUAUGGAUAUAUAUAUAUAUAUAUAUAUAUAUAUAUAUAUAUAUAUAUAUAUAUAUAUAGAUGAACUAAGACUACAGAAAGAAAAGAAUUACUAUUUAGGCUGCUAAGAUGGUGUCUUUGACCACACAGCUGAAUGAUUUUGAAUGCUUAGGGCAACCCUUGUGUUGUGUUGUUUUUGCAGUACAUAAAACAAGGUUUUGAGAGUAAUUCUUCUCAUGGUAAUUGUGUCUUCUAGAGGAAUAGAGGAAUGAUUUCAAACAACCAAACCCUAAAUUCAAAAUCUGUGUUAAAGUCUCUGUUACAUAUAUUUUAUAUACGUGUUAUAUGCUAAAUCAACUUUUUGUUUAACUCCAUUUAUAUUUUGUGACACAAGUUUUUGUUUCACAGUAUUGUUAUAAUUUUCAAAUACUAAUUAAUUCACAAAUUCAUUUUAUGCAUUUUAAUGGGCAUGUUUUAGUCAAAUUAUAUCAUUUUUAAUGUGUGUGUGCAUACAGUAACUUAAAAUAGGUGUUUUUAGAAUUUGAUUGUAAUAUAUUUUAAAAGUUUUUCAUUGUCACUUAAUUGAGGAUUGUUAAUUAAUUGGUUAACUUUUAUGAUAAAUGUAAAUUAAAUAAUUUUUAAUAUAAAAAAUAAAUAUAUUAAAAGAAACAAUAGAGUCGUCCUAAUCUAUAUCCACAAAAAUAUAAACAAUUUUUUUAAUUAAUUAUUAAUGUAAACAAUUUUUCUAGAGAACAUUUUAAAAUUGGUAGGUAUCAAGAUUACUUAUUUUCAUAAUAAAUAAAUAAAAUGAAAAAAAAAAAAACUCAUCAUUAACGACAAGAAGUAAUAUUUAUUGUUAAUACCAUGGACUCUGAUGAAUCACGAGUCAAUGAGUCAAUGCAAAAACCUAAAAAAUUGGAAAGAAAUUACGAUAUUCCAACCAUCAUUAAUUAAAUAAUUUAUUAAUUUAUAAUAACGCGACUAUUAUUUUAUGAGGCACGUGCUAGGUUACAGGACUUAAUAUAUUAAUUUAUAAUAACGCGACUAUAAUUGUAUGAGGCGCGUUCUUGGUUUUUAAUUUUCUUUUCUGACUUGUUUAAAUGAUAAUUAAUUCAUUAAAUUCUCAAGACUUUUCAGACUCUUCUUGAUUAUUGGUUUAUAUUUUUUCCAUUUACACACAACAAUACUAGUACUCUUGAUAAAAAAAAAAAAAAAGAAUGGUUAUAAGCAAAAUAAAUAUGGUUCUUAUAACAUGCAAAUGUCUUGUCAUAUCAUUCCAUCAAGUUUAAUGAAUGACUUUUGAUAAUUAAAUCAAUUAUAAUCACAUUAAUAUCAUUUAGAAAUUAUAACAUUUAAAAAUUAUAAUAUGAUAUGGUCAAAUUAGAAUAAUGAUGAAAAAGAUUCUUUCACUAAUUUCAUAUUAUUAAUAAUUACUAAUAAUUAACCUUUAUCGAUAAAUAUUAUUAAUAAUUACUAAUAAUUGAAAAGAACGUUUUUUCUUUCCUCCUCGAAACGAUGUUAAAGUAAAAGAAUGAGCACAUCGAUGAUGAUGUUUUCAAGAUGAACUUUGUCUAAAGAGUAUAUUAUUACGUAAUAUUAUUUUGAUUAUCUUUAACCACAUAUAUACUAUGUUUUUCUUAUUGUACUUUGCAAGUGAAAAGAGAUAGACUUGUCAUGUAAUAUAUAAAGGCAAUGUUGUACUUAUUUAUUUGGAAAGUAAUAAUUUUAGGUUGAAUAUUAGAUAUAAAAGAAGUAGAUGGAAUACGAAUAAUCCAAAACACAAUUCCAACUUAUCCAAAAUCUUAUCAAGAUCCAAUCAAAAUCAAAUAUAAAAUUGGAGGGUGUGCUACCACAAUUAUUUAUGUAUAAAUAUAUAUAAUAAUGCUUUUUUAACUUAUGAAUGACAACUUGUGUAAAGCAACUUGUUUCUAUAAUAUUAUAAGUUUAGGGCACGUGUUAGAUAACAUUGCUUAUACAAGUUUAUAAACAGAUUAAAACUAACUUAAUUAUAUUUUCGUAAAAAAUGUAAAAAUGUAUUAAUUUAUGUUUAGGUUAAAAAGAUUUAAAAAAUUUUGACAAAAUUUGUAUAAAUUAGUUAUGAAUAACAUGUAUAAAAUUAUUUUAUGUUUCUUCUUGUUGUAAAAGUUUAUUUAAACAUAGUUUAUAUAUUUUUUUUAAAAUGACAACUCAUGAACAACCAGAGUUGUGUCCUGUGUUUAUUUUUUUUAUUAUAAGCUUAUUACAGUUUCAUCCCAUGUGAAUAAUUUAAUCCCCAUGUGAAUCAUUUAAUCAGUUUUUACAAUUAAGAAAUACAAAUAGCAUAGUAUAAGUACAAAUUAUUAUAAUAUAUUGAGGCACAUUAAUUAUUGUAAGACAAAAUUAAAGACUAAAUUCAAUUAAUAUAAGAAAUAAGUAUUUUAUUUUAUCCCCAACAUUGAUUACAUAUUUUUUUUUAUCAUUUAAAAGUAAAAUAAACUGUAGAUAAGAAAUUAAGCAAUCGUUUACAUAGUGCAAAUGCUCCAUUAAGAUGAAUUUUUUUUUUCUUUCUAAACUGUUGUAAAUUAUAUAUCCUAAAAUAUCAAAUGUUUAAAUAUAUAUUUAGUUCUUUAAGUAUAGUCACGUCUUACUUUUAACUCUUCCAAUUUUUUUCACUUUUUUGUGUUUGUAAAUUUUUGUUUUUGGUUUUAGUCUUUAGUAUUUUAAUUUAGUUCGUCUAAAAUCUUACUUUUUAUUUUCAUUUUUUCCUUCAAUAUAUAAAUUAUUACCCUUUUUUCUAUUAAAUGUUUGUCAAAGAAAAUGACCUAAAAUAUUUAAAAACUAUAAAAAAGAUCGUAGGACUAAAUUAAAAUAAUAAAAAGUUGUAGAACCAAAAAUACAAUACAACUAUAUUUCAAGAACUGAAACUAAUUAAAUAUAAAAUUGUAAAACUGUAUACAUUCAAGUCAAUCAAUUAAAAUACUCAACUAUUAUUAUUAUUAAUAUUAUUAUUAUUAUUAUUAUUAUUAUUAUUAUUUAUCAUAUACAAAUUUAUAAUACAGAUUUCAAAAAAUUUAGUUAUAAAAAAUUGUAUUCGUGAACUUACAAAAUACGUCACGUACAAUUAACUUUUUCUUUAUCAAUAAUUUUUUUUUAUUAAUUUUAAGCGUGAAAUACUUACAUUUAAUAUUAUUGUUUUAUUAUUAACUAAAGUUUCGAUUAAGUUUUAAAAAUAAAGUUAUGUAUAUUUAAAUGCCGAAUUAAGAGAUGACAACCAAUUAUUUAUUUAUUUAUGAGCACUGCAUCUUACAUUUUUUAAUUAAAUCAUAAUAAAUAUAUUUUAAUAGUUCUGAAAGAUUAUAUUAAGUGUAUAUAUAAGGAUGACAAUGGGUCGGGUCGGACACGGAUAGUGUUUAUCCGCAACUCGACUCACUGGAUAAAACUGUACCUAUUACCGGACCUGCUACCCGCUGGAUAUCCAAAUAGAAAAAAUACGUGAAUUUUUUUUAACAUGUGGAUAUUCCUUUUCAAUCUGCCAAUAUUUUUAAAAAAUUGUUGUAUAAGUUUUUAAAUGAAAUCCAAAUUAAAUUGUAAAAGAAAUACAAAUAAUAUUUAAAACAUAUAUCCAAAUAAAGUAAAUGGAUAAGUGAAGAGGUUGUUGCAUAGAUGCAAGAAGAAGCAAAAGAAUAAAACCUAAUUUAAACAUAAGGAUAAAAACUUAAUUUCAUUUUUUUAGCAGAUAACAGAUAUCGACGGGUCAAAUAGUUUAAUACUCACACUCGACCUAUUUAUAAACCGAUAUUAAAAUACCCGUUAGUCACAACCCAAGAUAUCCACGGGUGUGAAUUUUUUUUGUCAUCUUAUUUAUACCCUAUUUUUUAUUAUCAUAAUUAGGAUUUCUUUUUAAUAAAAUUUGUUAAGCUUUACUGAAAGAUUGGAUUAAUCAUUGACUGAUUUGAGUUUACUAAGUGAUUAAAACCUUUUGGUAAAACCCCGAGUUAUCACAACUUGUAUCUGCAAAAUUUCAUAAAUGUCACAUUUAAUCCUAGCUCCUUUUUUCAGCACUUUAUUUUCUAUCUCCCUAAUAAAAUUAUAUCUCCUUUUUAAAUAUUUUAUUUUAAUUAGUAGUUAUAAUUAUUAUCUUCUUUCAUACUUGCAAAAUGUAAAACAGAGCAAGUACUUCACAUUUUUAUGGUUGAGAAAUAAGAUACUUCACAUUUCGCUAAAGUUAGGGUUUUCUUUAAUAAGGCUCGAUGCAUCAAAUAAGUGGGAGCCAAUGAAAGUACCAGGCCUAUGAGGCGUUUCCUUCUGCACUUCCAUAAUUUCUUCUUACACCUCCAUACAUUUUAAAAUUUGAAUUUUAUCCUUUAUUUUUAUUUUGAAUUCUGGACUACAUGAAUUAGAAUUUUUAUGAAAUGUACAGUUUAAAAUAUAAAAACUAUAUUUCAAAAUGUAUAAAUGGAAAUAAAAAAUAAAAUAUAUAAUUUAGAUUGUAUAAUCUAAAAUAAAUAGAAAAAUUCAAAAUAUAUUUUUAAUUAUAUGUUACAAAUUGUAAAAUUCAGAAUACAAAAUUGAUAUUUUGAAUUAUAUCAUAAUAAAUAUAUUUUGAAAUUUAUGGUUCAAAAUUUAAAUUACAAAAUAAAUUCCAGAAUAUACAGGUUUGUUUUAAAGGUGAAAUGAACUUUUUUACGUUGUCAUAGUCAUUACAAAACACCUUUGUCAUUCUUUGUUUACAUGUUGUGAUUGAGAUAAAAUCAAGGAAGAAAGUGUGACAUCCCAACAAAGGUUAUUUGUACCUAGCAAUGAACUUUUAUUAUAAUGAUCAUCAUUCUAUAUUAUAUAUUUUCAUAUAAUUUGGAAUGUUAUAGAAAGCAUUACGAAUUGUGCAAUGUAGAUUAUGUAAUUUGAAAAAAAAAAUUGUAUGAAAAAAUAUUUUUAGUUUAUAUAAUUUGAUUUUUUUUUCAUAAAAAGAAUGUGAAUCUUAUAAUUCUGAAAUCAUCCUUCAUACUUCACCUUGAAAUAUUUAAUAAUAGUUAUUUGACAUAUAAAUAAAAUAAGACAUGCUUUUAAAAUAAAAUGAAGAAGCAAUUAGUAUAGUGUAAUCCAGAAUAAUUCCAUUACAAAGCCGUUGGUAACAUGAAAACAAAGAAACACGAAACGUUUACAGUACAUGAUAUAACACUGUAGGGACACUAAUUAUCGUGAUACAGACAAUGAACUAUAUCUUCACUGUAAUGAAAAAAACAAAAUAUAAAUAAAAUGAACACUAAACUAAUCAUUUUUCAUAUUGGCCAAGCACCAAGUAUCUCUUAUCUCUUCGUCUUUCAAGUAUUCCCAUUCUUCACAAACGUUUGAGAUUUCCGAAAUUUCUUCUGUUCAGACAGUCGUAUCGCAAACCUGACAGAAGAAAGAAAAAAUUCCUUUAAGAACUUUUGUUUAUAACUUUUUUAUAGUAACUUAUGAUUGGUCCAAUUUCAAAUAUGUUUUUUAACAUAAAUUCAAACAAAUCAAUAAAGUGAUGACACAUGUUUUGUUGUCAAAAAAUUGUUAAAAAAUUAUCAAAAUAUCAUGAUCCUAAAAGAAAAGGAUAAUGAUAUUUAGACAACAUUUUUUUGACAAUAUUUAAACAUUGAUUACGUGUUUAUGAUUAUUAUUAUUAUUGAUUGUGGAAUAAUUUUUGACCAAUCACAUAUUGACACAUAAUCAAUGUUCAAAUGUUGUCAAAAAAAUAUUGUCUAAAUAUCAUUAUCCAUUUUCUUUUGGAUAAUGAUAUUUAGACAACAUUUUUUGACAACAUUUGAACAUCAUCUACGUGUCAUUAUGUGAUUAGUUCAAAAUUACUCUAUAGUGAUUUUUGUGAUUAUUAUUAUUUAUUCUAGAGUAAUUUUAGAGAUAGUGAAAUGGUGAAACUCAUGGAUUUUGUUUACACAGUUUUUGUUAAAUUCUUAAAUUAUCGUGUGUGUGUGAGAGAGAGAAAGUAGGGUUUUGAUAUAUACCUGGUCAAGGCUUCUGCGUUGGUUUCGUUAGACUUAACAGGUUCAUGAAUACCAGUACUCAAGUUAAUCUUUGAAACUGGUUUCUUCAACAAUGCUUCCGCAACUUGGACGAGGCCAUUCAAAUUCUUCUCCGUGGCCCCGUCCACCGAAGAUAAGUCCCCAUUUAAAGUAUCGUCCUACAGAAUUUGAAUAUGAACAAUUCAACUCAUGAGUUUUCAUUUGCAAAUCACGAGAAUCAUUGCAGAUGUUUAUAUAUGUUUUGAAAGAACCUGGAUUCGGAGGUAGUUUUCUUCAGCGUUGCGUGCUUGGAAAACGGAGGAGAUGUGGAAAUCAACCAUGUCAGAACUUGCAUGACUGAAGACAUCNAUCAGAGGAUUGCCACCGGAGGAGAUAACCCAGCCUAAAACGCCCCAUUUAGAUGCCUUAGCAGCAUUGUAUUUCAUUUCAUGUUGCUGAGAACCUGUUCCCAACGAUAUCACCANAAACUUUUUGUAUUGCAACGGUUUUACAUUCAAGCUUCCACAUGACCCUUCAUUGCGGAUUUUGUUAGACACUUCUGCCAUGGCCACCAGUGCCUGGAAAACGCCAAAUUAUAGCAUAGCUAUCACGUGCUUGCUUGGUGAUUUUGUAAGUGUGUUUUAUACUUGUUAUAAAAACUUGAUUCACACUCCUUAGCUUGUAAGUGUGUGUUGAUGAUUAAGAUUAGUUUUGUAACAUAAUUUCAUGAAACUAUAUAAUACCGGAUUAUUUGCUGCUACACCACCAUCUACAAGGUCGAAUUUGAAACUACCAUGGUUGGUUUUGGUUUCAAAGGAAUGAGCUGGAAGAUAGGUUGGUGCUGCUGAGGUUGAAAUGCAUAUAUCAGACAACGACCCAUUCAAGUAUGGCCUCUUCUUCACCUGUGACAUCAUAUUCCAGAGUAAUAAUUUCGUCAGAGAAAAAGACAAACACACAAUGGGAUUCCUUCUUAUCUACGAUUUUUCUUCAAAAUUUGUAGCAAAGUCUGUAAAAAAAAGCUGCAAUUUUUGUUUUCAAGUUAGUGAAUUUUUGCAACCACGAUAUAUUUUAGGCAAUAAUUAGGAGGAGAGAUGAACCUGGAAGCUGGAAAAGAUGAUGGGUUGAAGGUGUUUGAUAUCAAAUGCGGGGAUAACGACAUUGGUUAAUGUGUGUUGCAAUUUUGUGUCCCCUAGUUUUUCCCUGAUGAGCUUGUGUAAAUACUUGCCAUCGUACUGUGGUCCCAUCAGAGUUCUGCUGUAUUUCAUCAAUGAUGAGAUUAAAUUCCAGCCACUGUAUUU